UACGAAGGGGGCUAGCGUUGCUCGGAAUCACUGGGCGUAAAGCGCACGUAGGCGGCUUUCUAAGUCAGGGGUGAAAUCCUGGAGCUCAACUCCAGAACUGCCUUCGAUACUGGGAGUCUCGAGUCCGAGAGAGGUGAGUGGAACUGCGAGUGUAGAGGUGAAAUUCGUAGAUAUUCGCAAGAACACCAGUGGCGAAGGCGGCUCACUGGCUCGGUACUGACGCUGAGGUGCGAAAGCGUGGGGAGCAAACAGG
rnacentral:rRNA from 1 species